UACGCUUCACCCGUGCAACUUCGUCAUGUGCUCCACGGCAGCACAAGCCUUUACGGCUGUGCCACUAUGUGUGGAAACGUCGUAGCGGAUGAAUGUGAAUUAUGGAUCUCCAAGUGGCGUCGCCCGCGUCAUUUUCAAGAUUUUACCCGUUUUGAAGGUACGUAGUGAAUGUGCGAGGCAUUCACGUUCCUACUACGUGGUUAUCCAUGCGUUUCCCGUCUUCGCAGGCAAUAGGGCUGUUGAUAGGCAGAAUGCUAGGCUACUGCAGACUGCAACCAUAGGCGCUGUGUCUAAAGGUUAAGCUCACAUGACGCGGCAGGGAAGGGAGUCCGUGGCGAAAAGUGAAUAUAGCCGAAGUUGGAUAGCGUUAAUUUUUGCGCACGAAAGGCAAGCUGGACACAUCGCAAAUCUCCAGUUGUACGAA